rfam:Prochlorococcus phage Syn1, complete genome.
GACUCAGUAGCUCAGUGGACAGAGCAACUGCCUUCUAAGCAGUCGGUCGUUGGUUCGACCCCAACCUGAGUCG